AAAACUCAAUUGCUAUCUGUUACCAUUCUUUUACUCUCAUGAACUGUUGAAGUGUAAACGAUGACGUUUGCGUGUUGUAACCAGGAAAGGGCUGUGGCAGAACCGGUUCAGAGUUGAGACGAAUGAGAAGAACGACGGCUCUGUUGUACCUUACGGUGGAAAGUAAGAGCUCCGUCGGUUCUGGGUUUGAAAAAUCAUGGUUAAUUUUGAGGUUCUUGACAGGAUUUAAUCGAUUCAGAUGAUAAACGGUGCACUGUUAUGCAUAGACCAUUGUGAUUUAUAUAGCCUUGAGGUUUGAUGACACCAAUUUGGUUGGUUAUAGUUGGAGUGUAUUAGCGUGCAUCCUUGGAUUAUUGAUGUUUUGGGUCAUCAAUCAGCUGGAAGACAGUAUUUUAUCUUCUAGUUGUGAGGAUCAUUGAUCCGGAUAUACUAUCCGUGAUGAUUAUGUUGCCACAAUUGAAAAGUACUUCAAUCUGCCCAAUAUUUCGUAGAAGGUAAAAAAGAAGAACUAGAGUGAAAAGUUUAACAAUAUUUUCAUAGAAUUAAGUUGUAGGAAUAAGAUCAUUAUCCGAAUAGGGGAUGGCAGAAUUUUUAUUUCGUUCAA